rnacentral:rRNA from 1 species
CCUACGGGAGGCAGCAGUGGGGAAUAUUGCACAAUGGGGGAAACCCUGAUGCAGCGACGCCGCGUGAGUGAAGAAGUAUUUCGGUAUGUAAAGCUCUGUCAGCAGGGAAGAAAAUGACGGUACCUGACCAAGAAGCCCCGGCUAACUACGUGCCAGCAGCCGCGGUCAUACGUAGGGGGCAAGCGUUAUCCGGAUUGACUGGGUGUAAAGGGAGCGUAGAUGGCAGGGCAAGUCUGGAGUGAAAGGCGGGGGCUCAACCCCGGGACUGCUCUGGAAACUGCCAGGCUGGAGUGCAGGAGAGGUGAGUGGAAUUCCAAGUGUAGCAGUGAAAUGCGUAGAUAUUAGGAGGAACACCAGUGGCGAAGGCGGCUAACUGGACUGUAACUGACGUUGAGGCUCGAAAGCGUGGGGAGCAAACAGGAUUAGAUACCCUAGUAGUC